rnacentral:rRNA from 1 species
UACGUAGGGGGCAAGCGUUGUCCGGAUUCAUUGGGCGUAAAGAGCGUGUAGGCGGCCAGGUAGGUCGGUUGUGAAACUGGAGGCUCAACCUUCAGACGUCGAUCGAAACCAUCUGGCUAGAGUCCGGGAGAGGAGAGUGGAAGUUCCUGGUGGUAGCGGUGAAAUGCGCAGAUAUCAGGAAGAACACCCGUGGCGAAAGCGGCUCUCUGGAACGGUACUGACGCGAGACGCGAAAGCGUGGGGAGCGAACAGG